AGAUCCAAUAGUGCAUGUUAAAUGUGUUACAGUUAAAAUCUCGUAAUUUGAUUUCUAGUAAAAGUAGCGAACUUAGGUCUUCAACCUAUGAAGUUUCUAUCUUCAACUAUACUUGAAGAUAUUUGUUUUUGCAUUAAUUUGUCGAACUAAACAUGUUCAUCUUUCACUGUGAAAAAUCAGAGCGUUCAAACCAAGUAUUUAGCUUUUAAUGUGUUAAAAUUUAAUAAUGAAAUAGGAUUUAUGUGCUACUUUGUUGGUUUAUGCACCUAGGUAAUGAUUAAUAGGGAUGGUUGGGAGUGAUCGCAUUCCAAUGUUAGAGGUGAUAUUUUUAGAUUUUUGGAAGAUGAGUAACUGCAAAAUCAUUUACCUAGGAUUUUCA
rnacentral:rRNA from 1 species